GCCAGUAUGGUAUAGUCGUUUGGGCGCUGGGCUAGGACCCUGGGGGACUGGGGUUCAAAUCCCCACUCAGUCA